CACAGUAAAGAAGGUGACGCAUUAAAUUAAAACACACACCCACCCAUAUAGGGGGUUAGAUAGAGAGCCAUUAUAACUAGAUGCUACCUAAUGAAAAUCCUCACUUCUUUGCAGGUCGCGUAAAAAAUUGGAGCAACAACAUCGUUCACUGGUUUGCUCGGUUCUUCUUGUGAAGAGUUUUUUUGAUGGAGAACAGUAACUAUCCACAAACUCAUCCGGAUUUCCGGUACUUUUCUCCUCCGUCAGCAUGGAUCGAUCCGAAUUCUGUAUCGUCUGACGACGAUAAAACUCCGACGUGGGUUAUUGUUGGCAUAGUCAUUGUUGUCGUCAUACUCUGUGGUUUCCUUUUCUACUACAUCUGGA